GCUGGGUAUGGUGGUGCAUGCCUGUAGUCCAAGCUACUCAGGAGGCUGAGGCGGGAGGAUCGCUUGAGCCCAGGAGUUCAAGGCUGCAGUGAGCCAUGAUCGCAUGCCACUGCACUCCAGCCUGGGCAACAGAGUGAGAUUUGUCUCAG
rfam:Pan troglodytes isolate Yerkes chimp pedigree #C0471 (Clint) chromosome 18, whole genome shotgun sequence.